AGGACGAACGCUGGCGGCGCGCUUAAUACAUGCAAGUCGAGCGAGAACCAGGGCUUCGGCUCUGGGGACAGCGGCGAACGGGUGAGUAACACGUGGGUAAUCAACCCCCGACACCGGGAUAGCCCAGGGAAACUUGGGCUAAUACCGGAUACGUCCGUAAGGAGAAAGAUUUAUCGCCGAAAGAUCGGCCCGCGUCUGAUUAGCUAGUUGGUGAGGUAACGGCUCACCAAGGCGACGAUCAGUAGCUGGUCUGAGAGGAUGAUCAGCCUCACUGGGACUGAGACACGGCCCAGACUCCUACGGGAGGCAGCAGUGGGGAAUAUUGGACAAUGGGCGCAAGCCUGAUCCAGCCAUGCCGCGUGGGUGAUGAAGGCCCUAGGGUUGUAAAGCCCGUUUCGGCGGGGAAGAUAAUGACGGUACCGCAGAAGAAGCCCCGGCUAACUUCGUGCCAGCAGCCGC
rnacentral:rRNA from 1 species